rnacentral:rRNA from 1 species
AAUAGAUACCCGGGUAGUCCACCCCGUAAACGUUGGGAACUAGUUGUGGGGUCCUUUCCACGGAUUCCGUGACGCAGCUAACGCAUUAAGUUCCCCGCCUGGGGAGUACGGCCGCAAGGCUAAAACUCAAAGGAAUUGACGGGGACCCGCACAAGCGGCGGAGCAUGCGGAUUAAUUCGAUGCAACGCGAAGAACCUUACCAAGGCUUGACAUACACCAGAACACCCUAGAAAUAGGGGACUCUUUGGACACUGGUGAACAGGUGGUGCAUGGUUGUCGUCAGCUCGUGUCGUGAGAUGUUGGGUUAAGUCCCGCAACGAGCGCAACCCUCGUUCUAUGUUGCCAGCACGUAAUGGUGGGAACUCAUGGGAUACUGCCGGGGUCAACUCGGAGGAAGGUGGGGAUGACGUCAAAUCAUCAUGCCCCUUAUGUCUUGGGCUUCACGCAUGCUACAAUGGCCGGUACAAAGGGCUGCAAUACCGUGAGGUGGAGCGAAUCCCAAAAGCCGGUCCAGUUCGGAUUGAGGUCUGCAACUCGACCUCAUG